GACGAACGCUGGCGGCGUGCCUAAUACAUGCAAGUAGAACGCAGUUGCGAACGGGUGAGUAAUGCGUAGGUAAUAGCCUCAUAGCGGGGGAUAACUAUUGGAAACGAUAGCUAAUACCGCUAACUGUGAGAUGGACCUGCGUUGUAUUAGCUAGUUGGUGAGGUAAAGGCUCACCAAGGCGACGUUACAUAGCCGACCUGAUAGGGUGGUCGGCCACACUGGGACUGAGACACGACCCAGACUCCUACUGGAGGCAGCAGUAGGGAAUCUGCGGCAAUGGACGGAAGUCUGGCCGAGCAACGCCGCGUGAGUGAAGAAGGUGUGCGGAUCGUAAAGGUCUGUUGUAAGAGAAGCGGUAACUAAACAGAAAGGGACGGCUAACUACGUGCCAGCGGCCGCGGUAAUAC
rnacentral:rRNA from 1 species